rnacentral:rRNA from 1 species
UACGAAGGGGGCUAGCGUUGCUCGGAAUCACUGGGCGUAAGGGUGCGUAGGCGGGUCUUUAAGUCAGAGGUGAAAUCCUGGAGCUCAACUCCAGAACUGCCUUUGAUACUGAGGAUCUUGAGUUCGGGAGAGGUGAGUGGAACUGCGAGUGUAGAGGUGAAAUUCGUAGAUAUUCGCAAGAACACCAGUGGCGAAGGCGGCUCACUGGCCCGAUACUGACGCUGAGGCACGAAAGCGUGGGGAGCAAACAGGG